GAGUAAUACGUAAGUAACCUAUCCUUGAGUGGGGAACAACCCCGGGAAACUGGGGCUAAUUCCGCAUAAUACGCUGAGAGUGAUAUUUUAGCGCCAAAGGCGCAAGUCGCUCUGAGAGGGGCCCGCGUCCCAUCAGGUAGUUGGUGAGGUAAUGGCCCACCAAGCCGAUGACGGGUAGCUGUUCUGAGAGGAAGAUCAGCCACAAUGGAACUGAGAUACGGUCCAUACUCCUAUGGGAGGCAGCAGUGAGGAAUAUUGCACAAUGGACGAAAGUCUGAUGCAGCGACGCCGCGUGGGUGACGAAGGCCUUCGGGUCGUAAAACCCUUUUGGCAGGGACGAGUGAGGACGGUACCUGCAGAAUAAGUCUCGGCUAACUACGUGCCAGCAGCCGCGGUAAAACGUAGGAGGCGAGCGUUAUCCGGAUUUACUGGGCGUAAAGCGUGCGUAGGCGGUUGGUCAAGUCAGAUGUUAAAGCCCCUGGCUCAACUGGGGGAGGUCAUUUGAUACUGAUCGGCUUGAGGGUGAGAGAGGAGAGUGGAAUUCCCGGUGUAGCGGUGGAAUGCGUAGAGAUCGGGAGGAACACCAGUGGCGAAAGCGGCUCUCUGGCUCACUUCUGACGCUGAGUGCAACGAAAGCGUGGGUAGCAAACGGGAUUAGAUACCCCGGUAGUCCACGCCCUAAACGAUGAGAGCUGGGUGUCGGCAGGGUUUCCUGUCGGUGCCGAAGCCAACGCGUUAAGCUCUCCGCCUGGGGACUACGAACGCAAGUUUAAAACUCAAAGGAAUAGACGGGGGCCCGCACAAGCAGCGGAGCGUGUGGUUCAAUUCGAUGCAACACGAAGAACCUUACCAGGGUUUGACAUGUAUGUGGUAGGAAACUGAAAGGGGCCCGACCCGCAAGGGAGCAUGCACAGGUGCUGCAUGGCUGUCGUCAGCUCGUGCCGUGAGGUGUUGGGUUAAGUCCCGCAACGAGCGCAACCCCUUUCGCUAGUUACAAGUGUCUAGCGAUACUGCCGGAUUAACUCCGGAGGAAGGCGGGGAUGACGUCAAGUCAGCAUGGCCUUUAUAUCCUGGGCUACACACACGCUACAAUGGGUGCUACAGAGCGUUGCCAAGCCGCGAGGCGGAGCUAAUCGCACAAAAGCAUCCUCAGUUCAGAUUGCAGG
rnacentral:rRNA from 1 species